rnacentral:rRNA from 1 species
GACGAACGCUGGCGGCGUGCUUAACACAUGCAAGUCGAACGGAAAGGCUCUGCUUUUGUGGGGUGCUCGAGUGGCGAACGGGUGAGUAACACGUGAGUAACCUGCCCUUGACUUUGGGAUAACUUCAGGAAACUGGGGCUAAUACCGGAUAGGAGCUCCUGCUGCAUGGUGGGGGUUGGAAAGUUUCGGCGGUUGGGGAUGGACUCGCGGCUUAUCAGCUUGUUGGUGGGGUAGUGGCUUACCAAGGCUUUGACGGGUAGCCGGCCUGAGAGGGUGACCGGCCACAUUUGGGACUGAGAUACGGCCCAGACUCCUACGGGAGGCAGCAGUGGGGAAUAUUGCACAAUGGGCGGAAGCCUGAUGCAGCAACGCCGCGUGCGGGAUGACGGCCUUCGGGUUGUAAACCGCUUUCGCCUGUGACGAAGCGUGAGUGACGGUAAUGGGUAAAGAAGCACCAGCUAACUACGUG